rnacentral:piRNA from 1 species
UGCAUUGUAACCCCAUUCCUGAUCACCCCGU